CAGCCGCCGCGGUAAUACGAGGGGGGCAAGCGUUGUUCGGAAUUAUUGGGCGUAAAGGGUUCGUAGGCGGUUUGAUAAGUCAUCUGUGAAAUCUCUGGGCUCAACCCAGAGUCUGCAGGCGAAACUGUCGGGCUUGAGUAUGGGAGAGGUGAGUGGAAUUUCCGGUGUAGCGGUGAAAUGCGUAGAUAUCGGAAGGAACACCUGUGGCGAAAGCGGCUCACUGGACCAUAACUGACGCUGAUGCACGAAAGCUAGGGGAGCAAACAGGAUUAGAUACCCCCGUAGUCCCUGUCUCUUAUAC
rnacentral:rRNA from 1 species